GUCGUCUUUGGAAAUUAUUACAAAGUUCAGCUGGAAGUCUCCUUCUCCCUGUGGACCUUCCCCAAUUCCACUGGCUGCCCUCCUCAAGGACCCCUGUGAGAUAAAUUCAGAAAUGGCUAUCCUUGGCUUCCCUGGGGAACAAGAGUGCCUGCAGUUCUUUUCCCACUUCUUUUACUUUUCUAUUUCACUGGGCUCUCUAAAUUCAUUUCAGCUCUAGGGAUUUGGAAAGGAUUCCGUGAUGGUUAAUAUUGAGUGUCAACUUGAUUGGAUUGAAGGAUGCAAAGUAUUGUUCCUGGGUGUGUCUGUGAGGGUGUCACCAAAGGAGAUGAACAUUUGAAUCAGUGAGCUGGGAGACACAAACCCAUACUCAAUCUUGGGGGACACCAUCUAAUCAGCUGCCAGUGCAACUAGGAUAAAAUCAGGCAGAGAAAUUUGGAAAGACUAGACUGGCUGAGUCUUCUGGCCUUCAUCUUUCUCCCAUGCUAGAUGCUUCCUGACCUCGAAUAUCAGACUCCAAGUUCUUUAGCUUUUGGACUCUUGGACCUUUGGCCACAGACGGAAGGCUGCACUUUUGAAGUUUUGGGACUUGGACUGGCUUCCUUGCUCCUCAGCUUACAGAUGGCCUAUUGUGGGACUUCACCUUGUGAUUGUGAUUUCAAACCUUCUGGGUUUCUUCCCAGCGCUAAAUCCUGUCGACUGGAUUCACUAGGAUGAAUAGAGAAAGAAGUGUUACAUUUUAAGAUAAUUUCUUUUCUAAACACACAGAAAGAUCGUGGUCACCAGAUGGCUGUUGCCCUUCCAGGCUUCCAGCUCCUGUGUUCCAGACUGAAGAAGAGGAACAGAAAAAGGGUUCCACCUUGGCAUGGUCAGAAACAGCAGUUGACUAGUGAAGGAGGAAAUGAAUGAACAAAAAGGAAGAUCUCUCUUUUCUACAGCAAGCAGUAGUUUCUCACAGCAUCCAGCAUAGUGCUGGAUGCAGAAAGUCCAAGAUCAAGAUGCCAGUGGGAUUGGUUUCUGUGCUACUUGAAGGGGCACCAAAAAAUCAUGAGCCCAGGACAGGACAGAGGUGGAACUUAUUCUCCAGGUGCUCUACUUUGAAGUCAAGGACAUCUUACCAUCAUCCUGGAGAGCUGGAUCCUCCCAGAAUGAGGAAACUAAGCCCUGGAGAUGUGAAGAUAAUUCCAGCAGUCAGUGGCAGAGUCACGAUGUUCAUCUACCUCAGCUGAAAUAAAAAUCUA
rnacentral:lncRNA from 1 species